rnacentral:other from 1 species
UAUGCUCUGGGCUGCAGGUAAGACGAGUAAGGAACCUGACUAUUAAAGUCACUCACAAGCUCAAGUGCAGGCGCGGUGUGCAGGCCCUCCAACAAGAGGGAAGCCUGAAGCGUCUUCUCGGGCAAAGAUGGAACCCUGGUCAGUGACUUAAUCAGCUACGGCAAACUGGAGCGUAA